rnacentral:lncRNA from 1 species
GUCCCUGUCUUUUGAGGUUCUGUGGAACAUGGAAGGAGCCAGCCCCUGGGAGGAGUGGAUGACCAGCCCACAGCAUCGAGGGUUAUGCAACUCUCUUACUUUGACGGCGUUGUGUGGGGGUUUGCUACCAAGGCGGCUGGAGCUCCUCCAGUGGUCUUCAUCUGGAGCUCCUCCAGUGGUCUUCAUCUCUUUGC